UUGCCUGCGGUCUGCCGUAGUUUCCAAUUCUUCUGUCAUUCCUACAUACACUCAUUUUGCUGGUAAAAUAACUGGCUAUUUUAUUUUUAAGGUUGACAGGGACAAAAAUCCCCAUUUCUGCCCCACUCAGGGAAGCAGCUGCCUCCCAGGGCAGAACCAGAAACUACUGUCCCUUCUGACCUCCUGCCCCGGUGGCCCUGGUUACUCUCCCCAGAAGGCUGCUAGUGUCUCUGUAAAUCAUUGGGAUGGAGGGUGGGAGGUGGGCAGGGGUCUCUGCAGAACUUCUCUCCAGAAGCCAUCUCAUCCUGCUGCGUCAAGCUCCCUAGUAAUCAUCUGCCUGACUCAUCCUUGUUAAAAUAAAUUCAAGCAACAUGGAAAAGCAUGAAGAAGAAGGGAAAAGCCACCCACAAUCCAGUGACCAGUGUCAACAUGUGGAGGAUGCCAUGGGAGACAUCUCUGUCCACACAGCAACUCUGCAAGGCAAUAAUUAUUAUCCCUGCCUCAGGCAUCAGGACUCCGAGGCUCAGAGAGCUGAGCAGCCACUUUGGCCUGAUAUCAUGAUCUGGGAAGAACAGCCAUGAAAUUUACAGAAUGUGUUGUACCAGCGGUCAGAACCCAGGGCUUCCAGUGGUGCUGUAAGUUUUUAUGA